GAAAUGCGAUAAGUAGUGUGAAUUGCAGAAUUCAGUGAAUCAUCGAAUCUUUGAACGCACAUUGCGCCCCUCGGCAUUCCGUGGGGCAUGCCUGUUCGAGCGUCAUCUACACCCUCAAGCUCUGCUUGGUGUUGGGCGUCUGUCCCGCCUCCGCGCGCGGACUCGCCCCAAAUGCAUUGGCAGCGGUUCCUUGCCCCCCUCUUUGCGCAGCACAUUGCCAUUCGAGGCGGCGGCGGCCCGCGUCCAACAAGCUCAACCCCCCCGUCUUUGACCUCGGAUCAGGUAGGGAUACCCGCUGAACUUAAGU
rnacentral:misc_RNA from 1 species